UCAGUAUCCUAUAUUCUGAUAGUAGGAUUAUUGAUAGAGAAACUUUAAGGAGUUAUCAUAUAACUAUUUUGACCAGUAACUAUUUGCUGAUUUCUCUUUUAAGCCUGUUUGGAUUAGCUUGAGACUUCUUGAUCAAUUAGCUCUAAAACUAUACUCAACUUCUGAUACUGGCUAUCGAAGUUAGGUCUGAUAACACUUUCACAAUCUAAUAG
rnacentral:lncRNA from 1 species